GCCAGCGUAGCUCAAUUGGUAGAGCACCCGCCUUGUAAGCGGGGGGUUGCGGGUUCGAGUCCCAUCGCUGGCUCCA
rnacentral:tRNA from 1 species